rnacentral:sRNA from 1 species
AGCCUGGUGAGUAGCUGGGACUACAGGCAUGAGCCAUACUGUUGGCCUCUUGUGCUUCUGAGGUUUCAUUUCUUACAUAUGAUUUCUUUUUGAUAUUGCUGAGAUUUAUUCUGGUAUAAAUUGUGAGGCUGCUGACUUGAGUAAACCAAUAGAUAAAAGGAUAUACAAAGGAACACAGCCUACUUGUCAUGACUUCAACCACCUAACAGCCACAGCAGAAAGUGUCUCUCUCCUAGUGGGCUUUUCCGCAGGCCAAGUCCAGCUUAUAGACCCAAUCAAAAAAGAAACUAGCAAACUUUUUAAUGAGGAAAGACUAAUAGACAAGUCACGAGUUACCUGUGUCAAAUGGGUUCCCGGUUCGGAAAGCCUUUUCCUAGUAGCCCACUCGAGUGGGAACAUGUACUUGUAUAAUGUGGAGCACACUUGUGGCACCACAGCCCCCCACUACCAGCUUCUGAAGCAGGGAGAGAGCUUUGCCGUGCACACUUGCAAGAGCAAAUCCACGAGGAACCCUCUCCUUAAGUGGACGGUGGGCGAGGGGGCCCUCAACGAGUUUGCUU